rnacentral:rRNA from 1 species
GCCCAGGUCCUACGGGGCGCAGCAGUCGCGAAAACUUUGCAAUACACGAAAGUGUGACAGGGUCAUCCCGAGUGCCGACCGCUGAGGUUGGCUUUUACCCAGUCUAGAAAGCUGGGGGAAUAAGGAGAGGGCAAGUCUGGUGUCAGCCGCCGCGGUAAUACCAGCUCUCCGAGUGGUGUGGACGUUUAUUGGGCCUAAAGCAUCCGUAGCUGGCUGAGCAAGUCCCCUGUUAAACCCACCGAUUUAAUCGUUGGCGUGCGGGGGAUACUGCUCGGCUAGGGGACGAGAGAGGCAGACGGUAUUCCCGGGGUAGGGGUGAAAUCCUAUAAUCCCGAGAAGACCACCAGUGGCGAAGGCUGUCUGCUAGAACGCGCCCGACGGUGAGGGAUGAAAGCUGGGGGAGCGAACCGGAUUAGAUACCCGGGUAGUCCCAGCUGUAAACGAUGCAGACUAGGUGUUUGGACGGCCACGUGCCGUUCUAGUGCCGCAGGGAAGCUGUUAAGUCUGCCGCCUGGGGAGUACGAUCGCAAGAUUGAAACUUAA